CCAUUUGUUGAUACCUCUUUCUCGCCCGGUCUCCUCCUAAUUCACCGAUGUCGCUCUAAAACAUAUACCAGCCGCCGUCCGACAUAGAUCCAGCUGACGCCGACGUCCACAAAGGCGACCGCCCAGCAGCACCCUUCGUUCAUGUGCGUCGUUCCCGCGGUCCCGCAGCGCCCCAGACGUGCAGCCACUCCCUCGCAGCCAGUGUGUAUCUCCUUCCCGACUCGCCCCUUCUUUGUGACGGAAUCAGCCACAACCACCGCCACCGCCGUUCACGAACACUUGCGACGUCCUUACAGCCACAACGAGGAAGGCGCUUGCGUCGUCCUCGCAGGGCAGUCAUGAGAUUGCAGAGGAGUACCCUGAGAUAAAGUAUGAGGAAGUUAUCAUUGACAAUGGCUGCAUGAUGAUAUAUUUGUGAACUUGGAUUUAGAGUGCAAUUGUAUUUGAAAAUUCAUUUUGAAUAUUGAAAAUGGAAUUACUCUCAUUCAUUUUUAUAAUCUACAACUUGU